UUAAGUAUCGAUAGUAAGAUAGUCAAGCUCUGAACAAAAAAAUGUAGGUUUAAUCAAAAGUUAUAUAGGGGAAUCUGUUUAUCUUAACUGCACACAUUUAAAUGAUAUUUCAAAGCUAUUUACAUUCGUUGUGUCGCGAUUUUGUUAAAAAUUGUUUUGAAAAAUGAAAAAUUGUCUAGUUGCAACACAAUUUAUUUCCGGGAGAAAUAAUUCGAAGAAUAAAUCCUUCGAAAUUUCAAGGAUCACACAGACCGAAUCAGCAAGGUUAUUACUAAACCCCUCAAGGAAGUAAAUCCUAUAAAUAAACAUUAACAGUUCCCACAAUGCACCUUACCGCGAAGUGAUGGUGGCACUAACCCCGUCUCAGAUUUAGGAUCUCAGACUAUCGAGGGGGGAAAGGAUUUCUCUCUCUCUGAACUCAACUAAAGAGUCGUCCGAAGAACCGUCUUCCUGCAACGCUCUCUCAUUCUCUCAGCUGUGGUUUAAACCAGUAAAACCAUGUCCACGACGGUGAAAACCACGAAAUAUACCUACAAAUCAAGUACCGGUGGUGCGACCAGCGACGUCACCAUGGAGUACGGAACAGAUGUCGGUGCAUUUACACGGUUUGAGG